UUCUUAAUUAUGUGGCAUGGAGCAGAUCUUUUGUUGCCCCUAAAUCAUUUAGCUCCUGCCUGGGGCCACAAUGUUUACUCCAGCAAGCCACCUGUGCACCUGCAGAAGAAAAGCUCCCUCACUGCAAAUUGCACUCACAGAAUGGGGUUUCCAUCCCUGACAGUACCACUCCCAACCAACUUCAUGACCUCCUAUCAGUCAAAAGAUAAAAUAUAAAGGAGGAAAUCAGAGGACCCAGAGGAAACCCAUGCAUUCCAUGGGGAGGAUCCUUACAGAGACUACCGGAGCUGAACUUGGAACUCCAACACCUUGAGCUGUAAUAGUGUCGCUUUAACCACUACACUACCAUGGUGCCCAAAUGUAUUAAUGCAGCUUCGUGCAAGGACCCAUUCCAUUCCCUCAGUUUUUCUGGUUCUAUACCAUCUCUGUUGAUUAUGACACUUUUCACAUGAGUACUUCCAAGAUGUUUCUGUUGCUUUUACUCAUCGAUUUCCAUUGUCUAUAAUUGUUAGGGCUCUCACCUGUUCUAUUUCUUGCACAUACUCUCACCCCACUCCUUCCAUUCAGAGUAAGGGUAGGGCUCAGUCUCAUUUGUUGAGAAUCUCCAUUAAUUUCUGUUCUUAUUUCAGUCCAAUCUUAGUUGUCAAUUGUAGUAAGUAGAUGAUGCUUAUGUAAGUGUGUAUUUAGAGGUUGAGCUCCAAGUCAUCGCAGUAUGUCCACUGAAGUGCAUAGGUGUACGGGCUUUAAAUUAAACAUUCACAAAACCAAUACAAAAACAGAAAAUGCUGUGAACAUUAUUUCUUCCUCCCCUGUAGAGGCUGCUUGACCUGCUGAGUGUUUCCAGACUUUCAUACAUUAGAUUUCACACAUCUACAUCUUUGCUUAAAAAUUUCAUCCGCAAAACCAACCUAUUCUCACUGCAUUACAUUGCCCCUGAUAAUAAAUGUCUAUGACAAGACCUUAGAAAACAUGAAUCACAUUCCAUUUCAUAGCAGCUACAUCUCAAUGUGGCAGGCAUAUUGAUGAAACUUGUCGUUGACCUCAGUGUGCCUAACAGUCUUUGGCCUUCUGAGUUAAAGAAGGUUUGAAUAUCAAGACCUCAAAUGUAGCAUAAAGCCUACUUUCUGCUGGGCAGUAGUGAUCCCUGUCCACCAGUACUCUUUUGAGACAUGAACUACUGAUAACAAACACCUCAAGACAAUAGUAAUAUAUCACAGAUGCUGCCUCCAUUAAUCAGUUCAAGAAGGAUAAAAGAUCCAUGUCAGUAUCCUUUCUCAGGCCAACACCUCUAGCAUUAAGGCCAUAAAAUAUGCUCAAUUGCAUCUGAUGGGCAGGACAAUUUGUGCAGAUGCUCAACACCUGAUGCUUGAAAGAUUCAUUCUGUUUCAGCAUGGCAAGAUAUCAGGUGGACAGAGUAAAUGUUUCAAAGAUGUUCUUUCAAAGGGCGUAACAUACGUAUUGAUUCCCAGCUCAAAGUGAAGGAGUGUU